rnacentral:rRNA from 1 species
UAGGGAAUCUUCCGCAAUUGACGAAAGUCUGACGGAGCAACGCCGCGUGAGUGAUGAAGGUUUUCGGAUCGUAAAACUCUGUUGUUAGGGAAGAACAAGUACCGGAGUAACUGCCGGUACCUUGACGGUACCUAACCAGAAAGCCACGGCUAACUACGUGCCAGCAGCCGCGGUAAUACGUAGGUGGCAAGCGUUGUCCGGAAUUAUUGGGCGUAAAGCGCGCGCAGGCGGUUCCUUAAGUCUGAUGUGAAAGCCCACGGCUCAACCGUGGAGGGUCAUUGGAAACUGGGGAACUUGAGUGCAGAAGAGGAAAGUGGAAUUCCAAGUGUAGCGGUGAAAUGCGUAGAGAUUUGGAGGAACACCAGUGGCGAAGGCGACUUUCUGGUCUGUAACUGACGCUGAGGCGCGAAAGCGUGGGGAGCAAACAGGAUUAGAUACCCUGGUAGUCCACGCCGUAAACGAUGAGUGCUAAGUGUUAGAGGGUUUCCGCCCUUUAGUGCUGCAGCAAACGCAUUAAGCACUCCGCCUGGGGAGUACGACCGCAAGG